ACAGAAGCACGAGCAUCCACGAAUACCCAAAAGCUGGCCACGAAUGGGCACGCUCGUGUACCUCAAAGCAAACCCUAAAAUCCAAAACCAAAAAAGAACGAGGGAAAGCGAGCGAGAGAGAGUGAGAGAGAGCGAGAUUUCUGACAAGGAAUUCAAGUUGGCCGUGCUCCGAUGAUGCUGAUGCAGAAAGAAAGAGGAGGAGGAGGAGCAUUGCAUUCAUCCCCAAUUGUACCCCUAAUUCUAUCUCUUCACCACAAUUGUGGGACACAGAUAGACACACACACACACACACAGUCACAUAGAAAAAUGCCGCUUCGGGGGAGGAAGGAAGGAAGUUCAACCUCAAUAACAAUAAAAACCCCUUAUCAAUUUAUAUAUAGAUAGAUAGAUAUAUAAUAUUGUAGAAUUGUAUAUUUUUGUUUUUAAUUUUAUCACGCGUUCUUUUAGAUCACUGUUUGGGACGGACAAAAAUUCACCCGCUGCUGUAGCGCUGGAACUGGCCUGACAUUCCCAAGGAAUCGUUGCUCAGAGUCGUUAUGUUGAGCUGGCGUGAUUCGAAUCACCUGCAAAGAACUGGAUCUUCUGUGAAUUCUGGUGGAUAGGGGUGGUGAAAUCAUAGUUUCGUGAGGCUGUUUGAGUCACUGUGGGGUGGAUAUGAAAUUCACCGCCAUGGUCUGGUUAGAUUCGGUAUGUUUGUGUCCAAGGUGGUGUUGUCUGGAAACAGCUUUAUUUGUCGACGAAAAUCGAGCGAGAGCGAGAGUCUUACAUCAGAGCUUAUGAUGUACCGAUUACCUCCACCGUCAGCUUGCCAAGUAGUUAAUAUCAGCCACGUUCUGUAGUGCCCUGAUCACUACACACCUUGCUUUUCUGAAGUUAUGAAUCCCACUUCAGGUGCUCCCUGUCGCUGCUGCAUGGACAUGAAUGCACAGAAUCGCAGGUGGGUUAUCACGAAGUAUGGAGAAACGUGGUAAAGCGAAGCAUCGUCUGACACCCAGCAGUGAAUGCGUUUAAAAGUGUCGAACCAGGUAAAGAGAGAACAGGUGGGGGGCUUCAAUUCCCUCAACAAGGUCGAGUUAAAUUCCAUCCAGACCCUUGUCAGGAGCAUGAAACGCACUGCUGGGGUGUCGUACUCUGUCACGGUGGAGUGACGCAUCUUCCCGCAGGUAUGGAGCGUCCUCUAACUGCUACACAGUGCAUUGCAGAAUUGUCUGUAAUGGUGGGACGUGGUUUUAAGGACACUUAAACAUUCCAACGUAUCAUAGAUACAUAAGACCGCAAGGGCCUGUAGGAAUCACUAAACAAUGUAAAUUAAGCAAUAAGAGAGACAACAUAUUAAUAAACUUUUGAGCACAAGAGAUGACAAAUGAUAGUGGGUUACGAAAACCCGGAAAUUAUUCAAAAAGCGUCUGCAUGUUGAUGAGAAUGGUGUAACUCAUGAUGCUAUGAGAUCGUUCACGUUGAGCGAAUUGGUUGCAAGUCAGCGGCUCGAUACACGUGAUGCUGUGCGGCUACAAUUGACGCUUUGGAUGAUCAACCAAGAAAAAGGGAAUCAUAAAAAUAUCCCGAUUGUGGUGAUUGAGAAUUAGUGCGGUUAUCACUAAUAGAUUUGCACCUGAGGAUUAUUAAAAGUGAGGUAUGGUAAAAUAAGUCACUUUAUCAUAUAAUUGCAGGUUUUUCACUCACAAUCUACGAAUCAGUUAAUCAAAA